CGAAAAUGGCUAAAAACAAAUUGAUUCGUAUAAAUUCAGAGACAAAUACAAAAGAGAACGAUUAAAAUCGCCACAAUUCAAUUCCCCCAGUCUGUCAUUAUGACUCUUCUUCUUCUCUGCCAAUCACAGUUGAUGAAUACAUUUUAAAAGAAGAAGAGAAAAAUGUUAAUUUCAUAUUGAAUUUAACGACUUUGAGGCAGCACCAUCGCCGCUUGGACAACCACAACGCUAUUGUUAGUUGCUGGUAUGGCCAAAAAUAAAGCGGAGAACAAUUUGGCACUUCUGGUCACUUGGGCUUACUAAAAGCAAAGCCGGCCAACUAUAGUCGGUAUGUUGCGGGACCAUGUUGAUAGCCGGAGAUGGACUAGUGUUGAAGGAAAGCAGAUCCACCCCCACAUUAUGUAGUCUAUCAACGAAAGCCAAUUAUGAAUGUUGGAUCAAGCUGCCGUAUUUUAAAGGAAGUAUGAAGACCUGGGACCAAUUGAGGGAUUGCAGCAUCCCAUUUAGAUUAAAUUGUGAACAUGCAACCAUACAUCUGUAUUAAAGCGCCUAGUAAGUCUAUAUCUAUCAAAUCAACAAUUUUGAAAUUAAAAAGCCUCUGUUAUUAAAACUAAUAGCAUGCAAUUUGUUUUAGAAAACAAAAACAACUUUAUUAUAUUUGCUGUUAUAUAGAUAAA